rnacentral:lncRNA from 1 species
CCAUAGAGAAGUAAGGAGUGAGGGAGGAGUAAGAAAAAUUUUAACCAAACAAAGGCAGAAAUAGCUUACUAAAUAACUAUUCUAAAAGGAAUUACAAUUCUUUUUCUGCUUCUUUCUUAAAUCCCCGAACCAAAAAUAGUCUAAUGUAAUACAUUAGCAUCUUAAAUUCUUGGGAGUGUUUAACUGCUCAUAAAUAUUAUUAUUGUGGGUGGGAGUGGACAAAAUGCAGAUUAAGAAGUAUUCUAUAAGAAGUUGAGAACAGUGAACAAGAGAUCUGGGAGUUCUUCACAGUAUCAUGUGCAGUCUUCAACUUAUGUGAGGACUAAACAUAAUAGAUGGAUACAAAAUAAGAAAAAUAAAUCUUGUAUGAGAAAGACUGAAAGAGAACUUAAUCCACUAAAUUCACAUAAGACUUCAUUUAUUUAUUUCAAAUUCAGCAAAAUUUAUUAUGUGUGCCUUUAUUUAAAAUGCCUGUUCAUGUAAAAGUAAUCUGCUUGGAACACUUUUUUGACAGUAACAAAGCAACUCAAAUAAGAGAGAAGAUAAAUGAGAAUCCAGGCUGUUAACUACCUCAAAUGGGGAGAAUAAGGAUGUGCCAGUCGGUAAAAAAACCUGGAAGGUCCAACAGAAGCAACUAUUGCAGGCUCUCAAGACCACAUAAAUUAAUCAGAUAAUCUUACAUACCAGGAUCUGCACUGAUAAUAACAACUAACAAAUAUGAUAACAAAUCACCCUUUUUAAUUAUCUUAAUGGAGAACCAGUUGUGCUUUGUCCCAACACUUUCACUCGAAGAUUAUUAAAAGUCAUCCUUAAGAACAUAGCUGCCUUUCAAAUGAUACCUGAAAAGUUGAUGAUUAAAACCUUUUAAAUCAGAUGAGUGGUUUGUGAGCCAUUUACCUGCAGUACUGAGAAUGACUGUUACUAUCAAUGCAGAAGAGAGAACAAACAAUCCUGUAAACCACCUGUCCUCUUGAAGGUAAUGGAAAUGCAAAAAAAAAAAAUCCAAGUAACAACUUCCUUGGCCAUUAUAGUGUAGAUGGAGACAUGUUUGCUUAUCCAUUGGCAAAUGGCUAUUGAUAUAUUUCUAGGAGUUGUGUGCAAGUUUUGGAUGAUUACAAUAAAGAACAUGAAGUUCAACUUGGGAUGCAAGAUCCCCAUUAAAAGGUCAUGAGAAAAAUAAAAAAGAAUAAGGAAACAUGAAAACUUUAACAGCCCAAUCAUCAGGGCAAUCAUGUCAUCACAGCUUGACACCACAUGAUAAUUGGCAGAGAAGCAUUACCGAGCAUAUAACUUUCAAGGAAC